rnacentral:rRNA from 1 species
CCUACGGGUGGCUGCAGUGGGGAAUAUUGCACAAUGGGCGCAAGCCUGAUGCAGCCAUGCCGCGUGUGUGAAGAAGGCCUUCGGGUUGUAAAGCACUUUCAGCGGGGAGGAAGGCGGUGAGGUUAGUAACCUCAUCGAUUGACGUUACCCGCAGAAGAAGCACCGGCUAACUCCGUGCCAGCAGCCGCGGUAAUACGGAGGGUGCAAGCGUUAAUCGGAAUUACUGGGCGUAAAGCGCACGCAGGCGGUCUGUCAAGUCGGAUGUGAAAUCCCCGGGCUCAACCUGGGAACUGCAUUCGAAACUGGGAGGCUAGAGUCUUGUAGAGGGGGGGAGAAUUCCAAGGGGAGCGGUGAAAUGCGUUGAGAUCUGGAGGAAUACCGGUGGCGAAGGCGGCCCCCUGGACAAAGACUGACGGUCAGGUGCGAAAGCGUGGGGAGCAAACAGGAUUAGGUACCCGUGUAGUC